CCACGAUGAUGAUGAUGAUGAUGAUGAUGAUCAUCAUUAUUAUCAUCCUCACUG
rnacentral:miRNA from 1 species